rnacentral:rRNA from 1 species
CGCAUCUGUGCAUGCAGCAUAUCAAUAAGCGGAGGAAAAGAAACUAACAAGGAUCCCCUUAGUAACGGCGAGUGAAGCGGGAAGAGCUCAAAUUUGAAAUCUUCAAGGUUCUACCUUGACGAAUUGUAGUUUAAAGAAGUGUUUUCUGUUAGAUGAGUAGCAAAAGUUCCUUGGAAUGGGACAUCAUAGAGGGUGAGAAUCCCGUGUUUGGUUAUUCAUUCUAGCUUUGUGAUACACUUUCAAAGAGUCGGAUUGUUUGGGAAUGCAGUCCAAAAUGGGUGGUAAAUUUCAUCUAAAGCUAAAUAUUGGCGAGAGACCGAUAGCGAACAAGUACCGUGAGGGAAAGAUGAAAAGAACUUUGAAAAGAGAGUUAAACAGUACGUGAAAUUGUCAAAAGGGAAGCGUUUGACACCAGUGUUGUUUUUCCGAAAAUCAAUUACGAAUGGCUUGAUUUUGUGUUGUAUUGACCUUAUCAGCUUUCUGCACUUUUUUCGAGUCUUUCUUAAUGCACUUUUCGGUUAACAAGUCAACAUCAAUUUCUUUUGUUGUAAAAGAGUAUUCGGAAGGUGGCUUUCUUUUCGGAGAAAGUGUUUAUAGCCCUAUACUUCUACAAUCGGAGAGAUUGAGGUCUGCAGCGUAGAUCCUUCGGGGUUAGAUACAUUUGUGCUAAGUUGUAGCUUUUCAUAGACAACUUGUUGACUAUGUUUAGUCUUGUAGCUUACUCGCUGACGCUAUUUUACCUACGCUUAGGAUGUUGAUGUGAUACUGCGAGCA